UUAAAUAGACGGAAUCCCACUCGUAUACCCUAACCAACAUUUGUCACGCCGCCGCCGCCAUCGCCGGCGGCGAUUCUCAAUGGCCGCUCCUGCCUUCAGCGGGAGCGCCGACGACUCAGAGGACUACUCGCCGGCAGCCACCGUCGUCCGCUUCGACCCGCCGCCCCCUCUCCUCCGUGCGCCCGUCCCCUCCCCCGCCCCCGGCGGCGAGCCCCCCGUCCUCGCCUUCCGCGACGCCGCGAGCUGGCAGGCCGCCUGGGAGGCCGCCGAGGCCAGCCUCGUCUCCCAGUGCAAGGCUGGUGCACGAUCAGGAUGUUCAAUCACUGCAUCACGCAAAUGCAGGCCACCCUUGUGGAAAGGCUUAUUUGGAGCUGCACCGACUGAUUAUCAAGAAAGAGAGAGGUGUGAAGAGCGAGAGAUGGCCACUUGUCUCGAGGCAGCAAAGGAGGCUUGCAUUAAGUUUGCUAAGGAAAAAUGCAUUGCACCAUUCCGAGAUGCAAGGAUUGCUUCCAAUGGUCUCCUGGAAAAUACAGAUUUCGUUGUUUGGGGUGCUGGUAGUAACAAAACAUCAUCGACAUCAUUGUAUGUUCUGAACAGUCAGUACUCAUUCAAUCCUGAUCCUGGUAUGACAAACUACAAAGGAAGUGACUUGCUAGAUAGCUUAUCAUCUAAAGACAACAAUAACUCUGGAUUAUGACUGAGGAAAGAUGUUACAGUGGUCAAGACGUCAUACUAGAAUUCGGAAUUAGAACCAUCAAUCAAAUCAUGGAAAAUUUAUGGUCCAAGGGUGGUGGUUUCAUGCCAUGUUGGUGGUUUUGUUACUGAAGUUGGUUCAAUGGCUAGGAUAGUGAGCAAUAAAUUUAUGGAAAUGGGGGCAGAGGAUAAAAGACUGGAGUUUUGUUGGUUGAGAGCAAGUGCGGGGAUAUAGUGGAAACCAUAACGUUUGAAUAUUGUACUUGUUCGGAUUGUUUCGUUCUGUGCUUGAUGUAGGCACAACACAACAUGCAGAGUGCUUCUCUGUAUGCCAAUUGCUGAAAAAUUCAUAUAGCUGUUGAUGUUCACCUGUACAAAAUUCCGUUGUAUCUAUGAACUCUCAGGAUAUGAAGGAAGGGAAGUGCAAUUCUUCCGGAGACCUACAGUCCAUGACUUGCACGUUCUAAUGUUGGCGCAAGCUACAUCCAAAUUAAUCUAUUUCAGGCUCAUGAGAAUUGAUUUU